rnacentral:lncRNA from 1 species
CUAGGGUUGUAUGUGACUUACUUGUCCUGAGAUUUCACCGGCUUUGUUGAUAUUUCUGGAAUCGGUUGUUAGAACAAACUAUUCUUUUGGAUCUUGUUUGAGUUAUGGUGUCCAUAGUUAGAAGAUGGGAUAUUUAUAUUCCAAACUUCAGCCGGUUACUGUGGAAUACGAAGAGGUGGGAGGAGUGGGAUAAUCACACUAAAGCUCUUAAACACAUAUUAAUGGAAGCUUGAGACGUUACCGGGAGAGUGGGAGGAGUCGUUCUAGUUUCUGAAAAUUUCGGCUGCUACUUUACGAACGUCGGAGGCGUGAAGAGGAAGAGGAUUUUUCAGAGGAAACCUAAAACUUAAUUGAGCUUGCCAUUUUGUUUUAAAAGGCCCAUCCGCAAGUUGUAUCAAAAACCCAUAUCAAACAAAAGACAUAAAACGCAGGAUUCGCUUGUGUUCGGGUAUGCCACAUGGCAUCAAACGCCCAUAUGUGAAUGCUGACAUGGACGCAGGAGGAGAGAGACAACUCUUCUUUAUUGUAUAAGAUAAUUAAAAUUUAUAGGGGUCAGCUGACCCCCUAGCUCUCAACUGCCUCCGCCCCUCAUCAUAAUAGAGGCAAUUAACUCCACUCCUUCCACUCUGUUGCAAUCAAUACCGAUCAGACUCAAUCUAUGGUAACCGACGAAGUCUACACCUAUAUAUAACCAUGUCAUCUUCUCUUCGACUCAUCGCUCCCUUCACCGUAAGGAGGUGAUGGACAUGCUGCUCUUGGAUUAAAAGGUAAUUGUUUUCCAUUUUGGUGAACCCUGAAAGUAUAAGCCUAAUACUCCUCUUAGUUUAUUUCUUUGUCAUUUGUAGAUUCUGAGUUUAAAUACUGAAGAGAGAUGAUCACCUCAUUCUUUUGUCAUUCUAUUGUAUAUGGUUGAUUAUUCGAGUUGUUGUUGAUUCACAGGUCGAUAUUGAGAAUUUGAGUGCAUUUUCAGAAAUUAGCAUGGCAAUUGGCUAUGAAUACCGGUUCAUCUAACUCACUCUUAUGUCAAUAUGAAUUUGUCUUACUCACUCUCAUGUGAAUGCUCCAAUUAUUUUCCUCGCAAAUGCUCUUAAAAAGUGUAUCAUCUGUUUUAGGUCUCAGAAACAAAAGCAGGGUGUCACAAUUAGUUUUUUCAAAGAGAGUAGAGAGAGUACAAAUCAGUUUACAAAGCUGUAAUAUCUAUCAAAAGUAGCAUCCUCAGUGAUGAGAUUUUGUAGUCUAACAUGGCAAUUCUUCCGAAAGCUUAUUGUUCCUUUUUUGGAAAAACCAAAGGUUUAUUGUUCUUUUCUUUUUUUUUUUUUUUUUUUUUUUUUGAAUUAAUGUUAAAUUGAUUCAAAAAAGCAUGUAUACAACUUGUGCUUCCUUUGUUUUUUAUAGGAAAUCUUUACUACCCACCCCUUUCUACAUAUAGCUUUCUAUUUACAAUCUAGUAAGAAACCAAAAUUGCAUUAGCUUCUCCAUUCCCUUUGCUCCAUCUCUUCUCAUCAAAGUAAUCUUGUUUCUUAUACCCUUAUCUACUAGCUUUUUGAUUACUGGCAAAGGUAGCAGCUUCUCACCAUGCAUCAAUUUGUUACGCUCACUCCAGACUGCAUAUAAUACUGACUGAAAAGCAUACCGUAUACAGAAUCUGCUCAUCUUCUCCCUCUUAUCAUCCGCAAUGAUCAACAAAAUCUCAGACCAAACAUUAGUGUAAGAACUUCCCAAGACUCCCUUUACGAUGAAUUCCCAUAGCUGAGAAGUGUACUCACAUUCAAAGAAUAGAUGGCUUCUCGUUUCUGCAGCAUUCUUACAUAGAACACAAGUAGUAUCAACUCCUUGACUCCAUUUGGAUACUCUGUCCAAUGUAGAUAAUCUGUUCUUGAUUGAGAGCCAAGUAAUAAAUGCAAAUUUAGGUGUGGCUUGAGGAAACCAGACACCUUUGGACCAAGAACAGAACGGUUUACUCUCUCUCAAUAAUAGCCAAGUAUCCCGCGAAGAGAAUUUCUGUUUGAAACCUGACUUUCCUCUCCAAAUGCUGGUAUCUUCUUUCCCAUGGCACAAUUUACACACAAUAGCAUUCAACUCACCCUCAAUGUCAUUAAGCAGAGCAGUUCGAUGUCUUCUCCUUCUACGUACAUUUUGUGUUGCAUCUUCCAAUGUAGCAUUUCUGCCCACCCCCCUAUCAAUGAUACCUCUCGGACCUAACAGAUCAAAAAUAGGACCUCGCUUCGACCAGGAAUCAAACCAGAAGGAAAUAUUUCUACCAUUGCCCAACUCUUUCUGAUAAAACCUCUUCGCUUCUGGUCUCAGCUUCAACAUUUUGUGCCACAUCCAAGAUCCAUUCUGCAUUUUUGAAUUUAGCUCCCAAAAACUUCUCCCUUUAAGCAGAUUAUCUUUAAUCCAUUUUCCCCACAAAGAAUCUCCAGCCAGCAUCCUCCAUAUCAGUUUAAGCCCAUACACCUUGUUUACUUCUUUCAACUCUCUAAUUCCCAACCCACCUUCACUCUUCAGACUACAAACCUCUUUCCAAGCCACUUUAGCACUUGAAGUUUUAAGUGAAGGACCCGUCCAAAGAAAAGCAGCACAAAUUUGCUCCACUUCUUUUGCACACGCACUUGGUAGCCUGAAAACUGACGUCCAGAAAUUCACAAUGCUCAUAAGAACUGAGUUUAUCAGUUGCAGUCUUCCUGCGUAAGACAGGAACCUACACGUCCAGGUACAGAUUCUACUCCUGAUUUUCUCCAGUAGUGGAAGAUAAUCUUGUUUUCUCAUGGCUUGAGUCAUUAGUGGCAACCCCAAAUAUUUCACUGGAAGCUCACCAACUGCAAAGGGAAAAUUUGUCAAGAUACUACUUCUCUCUGCUUCUGCAACCCCCGCCAUAUAUAUUGUUGAUUUCUCCAAACUUAUGCUCAGCCCAGACCAGGUUUCAAACCUUUCAAAUACUGAGAGAGCACCUUCGAUGGAUCUUUUAGAACCUUCUACAAACACCAUUAGAUCGUCUGCGAAACACAAGUGGGUGAGUGACAGCUUUUUACAUCCCGGGUGAAAGACAAACUUCUCUUCAGCCACAGCACGAUCAAUCUUCAGUGACAGCACAUUCAUGCACAUCACAAAAAGAUAUGGAGACAAUGAGCAACCCUGUGGAAGACCUCUAGAACUUUGAAAGUAGCCCGCAAGAUCACCGUUUACUUGUACAGAGAAAGAUGGACUGGUAAUACAGAGCUUUAUCCAAUGCAUAAAUUUCUCCGGAAAACCCCAAACCUUCAUACUUUUCAAUAUGAAUUCCCACUGGACUGAGUCGAACGCUUUUGAUAUGUCUAUUUUCAUUAGACAUCUCGGUGUAAUCUCUUCUUUGUGGUAGCCUUUUACCAACUCAGAAGCAAGGAGAACAUUUUCCAUAAGAAGCCGACCUUGAACGAAAGCAGAUUGCGACUCAGUUAUUAAACGGGGCAGAAGCUUCUUAAGUCUAUUUGCCAAGAUCUUUGAAACCACCUUGUAGAUUACAUUACAGCACGCAAUAGGUCGGUAGUCCUUCAUCUCCAUCGAAUCUAACUUCUUGGGAAUUAACGCAAGGAUGGUAGAGUUGACACCUUUCGGCAAAAACCCAUAUCGGAAGACAGAUUGAACCGCAAUAAUGAAGUCUUGAGAUAUUACCGGCCAGACUGUUUUGAAGAAUUCACUUGGGUAUCCAUCUGGCCCUGGUGACUUGUUGUUUGGCAUCGCAAAGAGCACUUUGCGAAUCUCCUCCUCUGUCACUACUGCCUCCAAUUGACUACAGUCAUCUGAUGAGCAGCGAAACUUGAGUAGCUCGUGUAACUCUUCCUCCGAAGCACCAUGAUAUUUUGCAGGUCUGUGAUUAAGGAACUCAGCAAAAAAACUUUCAGCUUCUUGCUUAAUCUCAGAAUGCGUAGAUACUACUCUUCCACUUCUACAUCUGAUUUCUCUGAUCAUGUUCUGAGCUUGAUGGGUUUUUAUAGCUCUGUGAAAAGUCUUGUUAUUCUUGUCUCCCACAUCUAACCAGUGUAACUUCGCUCUUUGUUUGAGAAAAUCUUCUUCCAAACUUGCAAUAUGUAACCACUUCCCAUAUGCAUCUGCCUCCUCUUGAAUUGCAAGUGCACUUGGGUUCACUAGUGUCUUUUUCUGCUUUUCACAUAAUACUUCAUACGCAUCCUUAGCCCUUACAGUGAGAUUACCCAGCUUAUUUCUCCCCAUCUCUCGAAUCAAAGGCUUUAGUGUUUUUAGCUUCUUUGAGAAUCUAUACAUCGCAGAAGUUGAGUGAUAUAACCUCGCCGUGGAAUCCCAAUAUCCUUGGAUCAUAGGUAGAAAAUCAGGAAGACUACCUAUAGCGUUAACGUACUUGAAAGGUCUCCUAAUUUUUUCACCUGGUGGAAAGAGCUGAACUGUACAACACAUAUGAUCUGAACAGCCUCCUGGUUCAAAAACAGAAUAUGCAUUGCUGAACCUCUGAACCGCCUCUUCAUUCGACUCUUUCUUGGCUUUCUAGUUUCAUUCAGUCUCAUCUACAUGUCUGGGUUAGAUGGUCAUAUAAGUCUGAGUAACUGGGUCAUAGCCUUGCAGACUUUAGUCAUCUUCGCCAAAGCUGUGUUCUUCUCCUAGUCAGAGCAAAGCUAUGCAAAACUAAUGUCUUUGUAAGGAUACUUUCAUAGUAGUAAAAUAUCUCUUGUAGAUACUCAGCCUAAUGUUAACGUAUUAUUCAAACCACAAGUGAAGAUCAGAAAGCAAAAACAGUGCAAAGACAAAAAAAAAAAUUGAAGUCAUGCUGAUGAGAAAAAUGGAUGCCUACUCCAAAUCAUUUAUCUAAUUAGUACAACAAAAGAGACUCAUCAAGAAAAUAUAUGUAGAUCAGUAGAACAAGAACAAUAUCAAACAAUAUGUCCAGGAUAAAUAAAGAGUGGCAGUAGAAGAUGAGAGUACCUUGUAAUAGAAUCAGGAGAUGUCAAACCAUACCCGCCGGCACCUCGGAUUGUAAAAUCGCAUGACAAUAACUAACUACAGAUAUAAGCUGAUUAAAGAAGAAUCGAGCCUGAAAUAUAAUCAAAAAUUAAUUUUUUUUUUAAUUAAAAACAGAGCCGCCUUAAACAUGAUAGAUAAUGAAGCUUGAUUUUCUUCAUCCCGAUAAUGAGAUAGACGCCUUAUUUUCCUCUAAUAAGAAUAUCUGUCUCAGUAACUGGGGCGAAACAUAUUAAGAACCUAUAACAAUUCUGCAGUACAUCAUAAGUGGUGUAACGCUUGAAGAUCUAUGCGUGGUUGACAUUGGAGACAUAAAGCCAAUGUUUUGAAGAAAUUCAUAAAUAUAUCAGGUGUUUAGAAAACUCGGAGUCUGUAAAAAAUUGCCCACCAAACGAAGUUGUUUGCAAAUGUCAGCAUCCAAAUAGUAUCUCUAUCGUGUCUCCACCUCUUGAUGACCAUCGUAGCUGUCUUCAAAAACGUUAAGACUUGGACUGGUCUCUCUAGCUGAUGCCUAUAAUGAAUGUAGUAACGGUUAGGAUGAUAGCUAUUGUUAUUUGGCAAUAACAUUCAUAUUAAGCUAGGGUUGUAUGUGACUUACUUGUCCUGAGAUUUCACCGGCUUUGUUGAUAUUUCUGGAAUCGGUUGUUAGAACAAACUAUUCUUUUGGAUCUUGUUUGAGUUAUGGUGUCCAUAGUUAGAAGAUGGGAUAUUUAUAUUCCAAACUUCAGCCGGUUACUGUGGAAUGCGAAGAGGUGGGAGGAGUGGGAUAAUCACACUAAAGCUCUUAAACACAUAUUAAUGGAAGCUUGAGACGUUACCGGGAGAGUGGGAGGAGUCGUUCUAGUUUCUGAAAAUUUCGGCUGCUACUUUACGAACGUCGGAGGCGUGAAGAGGAAGAGGAUUUUUCAGAGGAAACCUAAAACUUAAUUGAGCUUGCCAUUUUGUUUUAAAAGGCCCAUCCGCAAGUUGUAUCAAAAACCCAUAUCAAACAAAAGACAUAAAACGCAGGAUUCGCUUGUGUUCGGGUAUGCCACAUGGCAUCAAACGCCCAUAUGUGAAUGCUGACAUGGACGCAGGAGGAGAGAGACAACUCUUCUUUAUUGUAUAAGAUAAUUAAAAUUUAUAGGGGUCAGCUGACCCCCUAGCUCUCAACUGCCUCCGCCCCUCA